CAGCCGCCGCGGGAAUACGUAGGGUGCGAGCGUUAAUCGGAAUUACUGGGCGUAAAGCGUGCGCAGGCGGUUCGUUAAGACAGAUGUGAAAUCCCCGGGCUUAACCUGGGAACUGCAUUUGUGACUGGCGAGCUAGAGUAUGGCAGAGGGGGGUAGAAUUCCACGUGUAGCAGUGAAAUGCGUAGAGAUGUGGAGGAAUACCGAUGGCGAAGGCAGCCCCCUGGGCCAAUACUGACGCUCAUGCACGAAAGCGUGGGGAGCAAACAGGAUUAGAUACCCCGGUAGUCCCUGUCUUUUAUAA
rnacentral:rRNA from 1 species